GGAUCUUCCUGUUGAGCUUUCCAGAUGUUCUCAUCAGUUAUUUGUAGUUGGCGGGAAGUGUCUCGCAUUGACCGGAGAACAACUGCACAGUGAAGGAGAAAUCCUGUAGACGGAGAGCCCAACGGAUCAGCCGAGAGCUGGGUUUCUGGGUUUUGAAAACCCAGACCAAUGAUGAGUGGUCUGUUACUACGGUGAAAUGUCGUCCUUCUAGGGUCCGACUGGCAAAAGCAAGGACUUGUUCUGAGCCCAAUCCAGUCUGUUGAGCCAGUACAGCUCCCAAUCUCACAUCGCUGGCAUCUGUGUAAACGAUGAAUGGUAAUUUGAAGUCUGGAUGUCCGAGAAUGGGUGGAGAAACCAGAUGUUGUUUUAAUGUAUCAAAUGAUCUUUGACAAGCCGUUGUCCACAGAAAUUUGGCUCCUUUUCUCUUC